GGCUGAAAUUCGCCUUCCAUGAAGUCGGAAUUGCUAGUAAUGGCAGGUCAGCAUACUGCCGUGAAUACGUUCCCGGGCCUUGUACACACCGCCCGUCACACCAUGAGAGUUGGGAAUACCCGAAGCCUGUGAGCCAACAAACGAGGCAGCAGUCGAAGGUAGAAUCAAUGAUUGGGGUGAAGUCGUAACAAGGUAAC
rnacentral:rRNA from 1 species